CAACGAACGAAAGGAGGUGAUCCAGUGUCUCAUUGUCAUCAGCCGCUCACCACGGCCUCCCGGACCUGGACCGUCGCCUCCGGCGCAGCCUUCUAGCGCUCGAAGCGAACGCGACAGUUUCGGCCGGACGAUACAGCGGUUCGGCAAUGGAAGGGCCGCCCCUCACGGGGCGGCCCU
rnacentral:sRNA from 1 species